UCCGAUGUAGUGAAAUGGCAUCACACGACCUUGCCAAGGUUGAAGCGCGAGUUCGAUUCUCGUCAUCGGGAC
rnacentral:tRNA from 1 species